AACCAUCACCGAGCGUGCACCACUGUACCGACGUCGGAUCGAAGUACCCACCUGUCACUGUCGCGUCGGAACACUGGGUACGCACAAGUCGACCGGACCUACGAAGAUCCCACGGGUCAGUAACCAACCCACUCACCUGAAGUACACUGUCUCACAAACCCCACACAGAACCCCGUAUCGGUUUCCCAAAACCGAUCAUCGUAACUCACCGGAAGUCCCGAAAACCACACCGGGACGCCGUCGGGACCCACUAAGUGUCCCGAACUCACCGACUCGUGCCACGAGUCACCCCUGCCCCAAAACACUCCAAUUUGGAUGCCUUGGCAGCGGACACGAGGUGACACAACCAUACGAUCAUCGCCGGAUAAUCGUACGAAUCCGGGUUCCCGGAAGUGUCUAUUUCGACAUCGGAACCCACCGUCGCUCACCCAUCAUCAUCGAACCCACAAAAUGAUGAUGGUGACCAGCCAACAAGGCUCAGCGACAAAACACGAAGCAACCAAACACCGUCGGAAAGAAUCCGAACCGAAACCGCGUUUUUUCGGCGAAUUUCGCCGAAAAACGCACCGAAAUCGACCUACCGAUUUCCGCGAAAGCUAACGGACCAUGGACAAUUAGU
rnacentral:lncRNA from 1 species